AUUUUACAGAUAAGGAAACUGAGGCAAAUAGGCAUAUGAGACUUGCCCAGGGUCAUCCAGCUUGUCAGAUUUGAACUCAGAAAAUGAGGCUUCUUGACUCCAGGCUGGAUGCUCUGUUCCCUGUACUAUACCCUAAGAGAAUUGGAGGGUGCUGAACAUGGAGACCACUAAACGACAUCACAACAAAAGGGCUGGAAGCUUCCAAGGAGAAAGAACUAUGCACCAAAAGCCUCCAAAGAAGUUUCUGGGAUUUGUCCAACAUUGUAGGCCCAUGAUAUGAAGGACACCAAAGUAUGAAAUUUAAUGUUUUGGUUGGGGUGACCUAUGGACUCAUUAGAGAAGGACACAAUAAUCAAUGUAAUAUACAUGGGAUAAGUUUAAUAGGAGGCUAGAGGAGGCAGAUAUCAGUAUGGACUAGAAUAAUCAGGAAAAUCCCUGUGGAGGACAAGGGAAUUGAACAAUGAAUUUAGGGAUUGUUCAUUUGAUUCUUUCUAGAGUCAUAGAUUCAUGGACACAUGGAAUCUCAGAGUUGGAAGGGAUAUCAUCUUGAUCUAACCCACUGCCUCCAUAAUAAUCCCUCAAUAGCAUCUGAUUUCUGUUUAAACAUUUUCAUUCAAGCUCUGGUGAACCCCUUAAAUUUGCUUUAAGAUGGGGUCUCCUGGGCUUUGAGGUCCUUGAUGGAGCACUGGACUUCAAGUGAGAAAACCCGAGUUCUUUUUCUCUCUCCUCAUCUACUAGUUGCAUGAUUCUGGGCAAAUCCCUUAUCAUCUCAGCCUCAGCUCACCCAUUUAUACAAUGAAGCAGUUAUUCUCUAGGUGGCCUUUUGGGGAGGGGUAUGGACUAACUUCAGAAGAUCUUCAGUAAGAAAACUCCAAGAUAAUUUCGGAGAAACUUGGAGAGACUUGUACAAACUGAUGCAGAGUGAAAUGAACAGAACUCACUUUCUCCAAUAAAAACAUCGUAAAAACAAACGCUUUGAAAGACAAUUCUGAAUAUGACCAUAGUUCCAGAGAUUCAGUGAUGAUACACGCUACUCACUUUAUGACAAAAAGGGUUAGGAUUUAGGGUGCAGAAUAAGACACAUUUUGUGGUAUAGCCAAUGUGGGAAUUUGUUUUUUGCCUUUGCAUAUUUGUUAUUGAAGUUUUGCUAUUCUUUUUCCCAAGGGAGAAGUAGUGGGGAGGGGAUGGGAGAAAAUAAAUAAGUAGUUGUUAAUUUGCAGGGGAGGUGAGUGAAAUAAAAUAAAAGUUAUAUUAAAAAAUUUAGCACUGGAGGGAAUAAGGACUAGUGGAAGGAAGUUUCUGAGAGUUCUAUUUCACCUAAAAAACAGGAGGAAUUUUAUAACAAAUACAAUUGUCCAAAAAUGGAGCAAGCUGCCUUAUGGUAUAAUGAGCUCCCCAUCACUAAAAGUGUUCCAACAAAGUCAGGAUCACUAAUCAUCAAGGAUGUUUUAGAGAGUAUUCAUGCACUAGGUGGGAGGUUGAAUUUGACAGCUUCUAAUUAAGCUCCCUUCUAACUCUAAGACUGUGUUCUAUCCCCAUUUCCUCUUUGUUUUGGAAGUUCUGAUACUUCUUGCCAGAGGGGAAAGCUGUGAUCAGAAGAGCUCAGAGGGAAACAGUUUCAGGAUCUCCACACCUUUCUGGGUUUUAGUGUUGCCUCUCCCACCAGACCAGGGUCCAGGACCACAAGGUAGUGUGGACUCCACUAGGCAUGCGGUGUAUCCUCCUUAAAGGGGAUUAGAUGAGGGUGGACCUGACAUUGGCCAUCUCCAAAAAAGGACAUCCUGUUCUGUGUGUUGAGUUUAUCACCUCUCUCCUGGGAGCUGGCUGGCAUGCUUCAUCAUGAUCCCCUGGAACCAUAACUAGUCAUUGAGCCAGUGUUUAAGUUUUUCCCCACUGGGAAAACCUCAGAUUUUCCUCAUGAGCCUUGGUUGACCAAUGCUAUCUUUUCCUUAGCGACAUCCCUUCUUCCUGAACUGCCCUCUCUCUGUAAUCUUCCAUGUCUGUAUCUUUUCUGAUGCCAGGAAACUUCCAGGCAAGAAGGUUCCUAUUGAUUGGUGCCUCCCUGCCUGUGACACUAAGAUAGGGAAGUCAGUCUGACUUGCCCAAGAUGGAUUCCUUUCCUCCCCAUUAAAAACUUGAGCAGCUUUGAUCCAUAUGCAGCCAUGAUCUUCUCUAGUCUUUCUGCACCUUAGUCCUGGACACAUAUCUAGUGACACUGGCUUCUGAACAAGAAAGACAGCCCAUCUCUCAGCUUUGGGCAUCCUUUCUGGCUGUUCCAUCUUCCUAGAAUGCUCUCCUUCUUCUGCUCUAAUUACUCACCUCCCUGUCGUUGUUUAAAUACCAACUGAAAACUUAUCUUCUAUGGAAGCCUUCCCCAGCUUUUUUUUAACCCUAGUUCCUUCUUGGGCAGCUAAAUGGCCAGUGGAUAGUCAGUCUGGAUAUAGGAGGUCCCAGGUUUGAAUUUUCCCUCAGAUACUUUCUACCUGUAACUUCAAUUGCCUAGCUCUUACCUCUCUCUUCUGUCUCAGAAUUCAUAAUUAACGGGACCAGCUGGGUGGCUCAGUGGAUGGAGAGCCAGGCCUAGAGACAGGAAGGUCUGGGUUCAAAUGUGGCCUCAGACACUUCCUAGCUAGGUGACUCUGGGCAAGUCACUUAAUUCCAGCUUCUAGCCCUUGCCUCUCUUCUGCCUUAGAACCAAUACACAGUAUUGAUUCUAAAAUGGAAGACAAGUAUUAAAAAAGAAAAAGAGCUGAUACUAAGACAGAAAA